ACUCAAAGGAAUAGACGGGGGCCCGCACAAGCAGUGGAUCAUGUGGUUUAAUUCGACGAUACCCGAAAAACCUUACCAGAACUUGACAUCCAGAGAAUUCUGUAGAAGUACGGAAGUGCCCGCAAGGGAGCUCUGAGACAGGUGGUGCAUGGUUGUCGUCAGCUCGUGUCGUGAGAUGUUAGGUUAAGUCCUGCAACGAGCGCAACCCUCGUGUUGUGUUGCUACAUUUAGUUGAGCACUCUCAACAGACUGCCCGUGGUAAACGGGAGGAAGGUGGGGAUGACGUCAAAUCAUCAUGCCCUUUAUGUUCUGGGCUACACACAUGAUACAAUGGCAAGUACAAAGGGAAGCCAAGCCGCAAGGCGGAGCAAAUCUCAAAAAACUUGCCCCAGUUCAGAUUGUAGGCUGCAACUCGCCUGCAUGAAGAUGGAAUUGCUAGUAAACGCAGAUCAGCAUGCUGCGUUGAAUACGUUCCCGGGCCUUGUACACACCGCCCGU
rnacentral:rRNA from 1 species